GACGAACGCUGGCGGCGUGCCUAAUACAUGCAAGUCGAACGCAGUGGGGACGGGUGAGUAACACGUGGGUAACCUCCCAUCAGAGGGGAUAACACUUGGAAACAGGUGCUAAACCGAUACUGAUGGAUGGACCCGCGGUGCAUUAGCUAGUUGGUGAGGUAAAGGCUCACCUAGGCGACGAUCUCUAGCUGGUCUGAGAGGAUGAUCAGCCACACUGGUACCGAGACAUGGCCAAGACUCCUACGUGAGGCAGCAGUGGGGAAUAUUGCAAAAUGGGGGCAAGCCGGAUGCAGCCAUGCCGCGGGUAUGAAGAAGGCCUUAGGGUUGUAAAGGACUUUCAGCGGGGAGGCGUUAACCGCAGAAGAAGCACCGGCUAACUCCGUGCCAGCAGCCGCGGUAAUUC
rnacentral:rRNA from 1 species